rnacentral:lncRNA from 1 species
CAGGAUUGACUUAAGGGACUAACAAGACUGUCAUCUGUGGCUAAAAACUACAGGAAUUAACAACACAGCUAACUGGUACCUUGGAGUUAGUGGUCAAAGGGAGAUGGGGAAGGAACUGAGCACGCAUCUGGGAGUCUUGAGAAGAAAUCUUGAAUGUGCACAAGGCGCUCAGCUGCUCUGUACCUAAGUGGGGAGGAGGCAACAUGAGAGUGGGGGGAAACACCUGGUGAGAACACCUGGCCACACAAACCGGGAGAACGUGACAAACGUGUGACUAAGAGGAACAGCAGCUCCUUCCACAAGUUACAAAUGCUAGAAUCUUACACGCUGAGAGAAAAUGAAAUCCUUUCGUGAACUCCCUGACAGGGUGCAGCAUAGGAGAUUGUCCGUCCUGUGCAGUAAUUGUCAUAAUUGCUUUUGGCUCUUCACACCUCCACCUCCUGCCCACACCAUCUCCCGCUCUCUAGCCUGAUCUCUACCUCGGCAUGCCUGGUGAGGCACUGUCUGAGCUCCAGUGUGCAUUAUGAACCAUGUAAUCAUAAAGUAUGAUGAGAGGUUGGAUAAUUGAGCAUCGGGUACAGUACAAGCUAUAUGGCUAGGGCACACUGCUUUAAAAGAAAAAAAUCUCAGGGUUGACAGCCAAGCAGUUAGAUGGCUUGAUGGGAUGCAAGUACAAGGUUUGAAUGAAGUUGUGGCCCUUGCAUUGCAGUCCUGGACCAGCAGCAGCAGCAUCACUUGUGAAAUUGUUAUACACGCAAAUUAUCAAGUCCCACCACUCAGCCCUGCUGAAUGAGAAACUCUGCAGGCUGGACCCAGCCACCUGUGCUUUACCAAAGCCCCCAGGUGAGUCUGAAGCAGACUCAAUUUGAGAACCAAUGGACGAAAAACAGAAAAGCUGAACAUCUGAGGAGCGUAACUCAAUGUCCCGCUUUCCAUGAGCACUUGGUCCAGUCAGACUUCAUUCUUUAGGCGGAUGAGCGCUUCCCUUUUGAAGGUGUCUUCAGAGACCAGGACCAGAGUGGACCUUGUCUGUUCAUUUGUUUAUUUUGGAUGUUCUUUGCAGAAAGCCACAUCUCACAGCUUGAUCACCAUAGCCAUCUCCAAAUGUGUUUUGUCAGGUUUUCAAUCUCAAAUUCAGUCUCAGAGGACAGAGGUGUCUGCUUGGAGGAUGUUCAAAAGAAUGUGCUUCAGGCCGUGACUUUGAGCUGCUGUCCCCCUGUCUUUUCUUGGUAUCCGUAAAUACAGCACACCUCUGGGACAGUCUGAGAAUGUGCUCUUCCAGGUAGGAUGGGGCCCAGCUACAGAUAACCUGACAGUCUCCAGGAGACACCAGAUUGCAGAUCAGAGGCCACAUACACCAAGAACGAGAUGCAUGACUUUUCCAGGGCUGCUCAACUUGCAUGAUUUGGAUUCUGAGGGUCGUUUUGACAGUGAAGCCCUGAAGCAGCUGCCGGAUUUCAACAGAGACAAAGUAAUGUAGGGAGGGUAAAAAUACCACUGAGAGAUUAUGGGUUGGUUUGGGAAGCAAGAUGUUACACAGGCUAAUGCCACAAAAUCCUACUCCAUUAAUUACGGCUAUCAACACUGCGUUUUUCUAUUUGGCCGUCACAGAGUUUCCCAGUGAAAUAUGGCUUACGUUUAAUGGACAUAUGAGAAACACCGAGAGGUGGCAAUGACCCAAACAUCCCUGGGCGGUGGAAGUUAGGCAGUAUGGCCGGACGUAAACAUAACCCAGAGAGAUGUUUUCAUGAGUUCCUGUUAAAGCAAUCGUAAUUGCCCUAUUUUUUAAACUUCCCAUGUGGCUGCCCCCUCCCAUUUUUGCAACAGCCAAGGCAGCAAGAACAAGGAGAGAGGUUUUUUCUGACCAGAUACCUUAACUAAUUUCUUAGAUUAGACCAAGAUGUUCACAUUCACCAAAAUGUCAAGCUAGGUAAAUUUUAUAUGUCCCAUGUCUCUGUUUCCCGUUGGAGAAAGAUUGGGAAUAAAUGUUAUUCUAAAUCAAUUACUUAGAGCAAUUGUUGUUUUUUUUCCCAAGGGGGCAAUAAAAAAGCCAUUGUUCUAACACCUUAUUCUAUUACACAUUGAGGAACUUCAGCAAGGACAGGGAAAGACACCAAAUUCAACUUUGCCUCGGGGAAUGAUUAGACACUGUGCUAGUCAAAAAAAUGCACUCAGCUCGAUUAACAGUCAACUGACUGAAGUCAUCUCAACACAUCAAGGUGCAUUUGUCUCACACAUAAGGAGCCUAGAGCAAAGCAGUUUGGGGUCAGAAAGAUGCCCUCAGGAACUCAAAUUCUUCUGUCUUCUUGGUCCACCAUUCUUGGUUUGUGCCAUUUGGUCUCACGGCAGCAACAGAGCUGUACCUGCAGACGAGGCAGCUCUCAUCACAAAGUUGGUCGCUUCAGCCACACAGAGAUUCACCUUACCCCAGGCAGUGGGAAACUAUCAAAAGUUCAUAUACAAUGAAAUAGCACAGUCACAUUUGGACUUUAGAGGGAUGCAGGGAAAGUGAAGGAGCUGAACUGGCGUUGGGGAGGCCAGGUGGGAGGAGAGAGAAGAUGACACUCUGAACCAGAAGGGAGACUCCAGGACGAGGGAGAAGGAGCAAGAUGGAAUAGGCCUGUCAACAGUCAGCUCAUUUGGGCAGAGUAAACUUUAAGACGUACGGCUGAGGGAGAACAAGCAGUUGAAGAUGACUCUAGGACCAGGGUAGCAAUUCAGACUAGCACAUUCGUUUAUUUUUUCACUUACACUUGACGGCCCAGAGUUGUUCAAAGGCUCUGUAUACCCAUUUGCCUUUCUCUUGUCCACUUCAUCUUUGACACCUGCCUGAGCUUGAAAGCUUUUGUGAUUGAGCACAAGGGGGUUUGGCUUGGCCAAAAGGAUGAAUGAUCGUGCCUCUAACUGAAGGAGUUAACACAGCAGAGGAGCGCGUCGGCAGGAGGAAGAUAAUUCAGGAUAGAGCUUCACCAAUAAAGAGAGGAGAGUGGUUUGGCAUGCCUGGGUCCAGGACUAGCUUAAACCUUGAUUUACUUUCUCAAUGACCUUGAGUCAGUUCCCUUGGCCUUCCAGUAGCUAUAAAGCAGAAGAAAACAUCCCCCGCCCUUGUGAAUAGCUCCCCAGAGCCACCAGGCUCAUAACAUUGAUUCUGGCCAGUACACAUUAAUCAGUGUCAUCCCUUCCUCUUUAUAGUCAUCUUUACGAGCCCUCGUUUCCCUGCACACUCAGCCCUCUAGACUCAGAAACUAUGUGUUGUUGACCCGGAUUCCCAGUGUUCCCCCCAAGCAGCACCGCCCUAUGAAAUCAAAACCAGCAGAGGAGAAAAGGCAAGUCCGGGUGUAUCGCGUUUCUCUGGGACCCACCAUCCAUGUCUCAAUAUGCAAGAAUUUUUAGAAAAAGUUCAGUGUUUAUUUUCACGGCUGCUCUAAAGACCUCUGGAAAUGCCAUAGAUAACCACAGCACCAAUAACUGUUUAAUUUAUUGCAUUUGCACAUGCAGAUGGAAAGAACCCAGUCUUGGCAGAAAGACAACUAUAAACAAAUGUAAAUUACAAAUCAGACAGUCAAAUUGGAAAUUGAAGUAGAAAACAUUCAAAUCCACCUAAUGUUUCCCAUUCCCAUGUAGUAUUAAGGUAUCAAAUUUUUUCCCCCACUAAUCUGAAAUCCCUCUGCAGUUAUUGAGCCUUUCUUUCUUCUCCUUAUGCAUUCAGCUUGUAAAACUAGGCCCUGGGGAUGCAAAGAUCAAGUAAGACACAGCCCCUGUUCAAACCUGUACCUUGUGCAAAGUUUAGAUGUUAAAAAAAAAUUUAGUGAGUAAAUGGGUUGAUUUAAUCUGUUAAAUUUCCUAAAACUUUUUUCUUUUGUGGGGGGUCAGGGGCUGUGGAGUUACUCUUUUCGGUGAGACAUUGUGAAUAAAUUGCAGUAGAGAGAAAUCAAGUUCUCUAUUUCCACCUCUGUAAUCACGCAUUUGGUCCCUGACUUCUGUCUCAAAUAUCCAUUUCUUUCCUCAAGCUCAAGGAUCUUGAUUAGGUCAAAUGUACAAGUUUAAAUAUCUAAACUAGAAGCAAACGGGUGAUAUUUUUUCUUCCAAGAGGCAUGGCUCUUGUUUCCUUCCACCUGCUAACAAGUAGUUGUAGCAGGUUUAGCUUCUGUUUGAAGUUAGAGCAGUGAAACGCAUGGGUUUUUUCAGCUUCCAGAGACCCUAAACCUGGUCCGUGUUACUGCCUCACUGGUAGUAACCCUUAACCUGUUGCUGUUCUCACUUAGAUCAGUCUAAUAAUCACGGGAUUGGUGUCUUUAUGUCCUCUCUUGCCCCUCCAUCCCAUUAUCCACAAUAUAAUCAAAGCGGGCUUUAUCUCCCAUUGCUCUUUGGAUAAAGACCUGCAUCCUUGCACCCAACACAUAGCCCUGCCCCCUUGUCUCCACACUUGGCUUGUACCAUGCCUCUCAUUCCCCGUCUGUGGGCUUACAUUGCCCCUACAUGUCUCUUGAAGCAAGAGUCACAGGAGCAAUUUUUGUUCUUUUAAAAUGGCUUGUCUGCUGUCUCCCUCACUUGAAAACAGUAAGAGAACAAUGACAACGUCUCUUUUGGUUCAUUGCUAGAUUUCUAGUGGCUGGCUUAAAGUCU